rnacentral:rRNA from 1 species
ACUCAAAGGAAUAGACGGGGGCCCGCACAAGCAGCGGAGCAUGUGGUUUAAUUCGAAGCAACGCGAAGAACCUUACCAAGGCUUGACAUCUACAGAAUCCUAAAGAGAUUUGGGAGUGCCCUUCGGGGAACUGUAAGACAGGUGGUGCAUGGUUGUCGUCAGCUCGUGUCGUGAGAUGUUGGGUUAAGUCCCGCAACGAGCGCAACCCCUAUUGUUAGUUGCUACCAUUAAGUUGAGCACUCUAGCGAGACUGCCGAGGUUAACUCGGAGGAAGGUGGGGAUGACGUCAAAUCAUCAUGCCCUUUAUGCCUUGGGCAACACACGUGCUACAAUGGCCGGUACAAAAAGUUGCAAGCCCGCGAGGGGGAGCUAAUCUUAAAAACCGGUCCCAGUUCGGAUUGUAGGCUGCAACUCGCCUACAUGAAGCUGGAGUUGCUAGUAAUCGUGAAUCAGAAUGUCACGGUGAAUGCGUUCCCGGGCCUUGUACACACCGCCCGU